AUGUAUGAGAAGGCGUCGGGGCAAAGAGUAAACAUGCAGAAAUCUUCCAUCUUUUUUGGAAGAGGAUGUCAAGAUAGCACCAAGGAUCAGUUGAAACAAGCGGUGGGUAUCCAGUAAGAAGCACUCAGCGAGCGGUACCUUGGUCUCCCGACACUGGUUGGAAGAUCGAAGGACGGUACUUUUAAGCACGUCACUGAGUGUUCAAAAGGAAAGGUUUUUUGGAUGGAAGGGACAAGGUUUGUCCAAAGCGGCAAGAGAAGUUCUUGUCAAAUCGGUGUUCCAAGCGACUCCGACAUACACCAUGAGUUUUUUUCACCUCUCGAAAAAGAUGUGCCGGAACCUGACUUCAAUUUCUUCUAA
rnacentral:rRNA from 1 species